GAAAUCCAAUCAAAACAACUAAAAGCAAUCGUCUAAGGAAGUGCACUAAUCAUAAUGAUAAUAAUAAUAAUAAUAAUGCGUGGUGGGAAUCAUAAUCAGCGUUACUGUGUGUUUUGUUUUGAUGUAAUGGAAUGUAUAUGUAAAUGUCGACCCCAGUUCUUCCUUUUUAUGUUUCCGACGGCAAUGACACACAAAUCUGAUUUGCAGAAUUUUGGAGCCCCAUUUCUUUCUAUGGUCUUGCUUGAUCUUGAGUGCGAUUUGAAUUUUGUUACUUUCAAAUACAGCCUUUCUUAUCCUAUCAGAUUUCUCAUGCGGCGGAUGGUUGAUUUCUUUGCUGAUGAUAAGUUAGUUAAACGCCACGGUCUAUCCAUUGCUGAAGAUUAAGAAGCCGUUUCAUCAAGUAGAGUUUAUAGUUGGAGUUAAUGAUUUUAUUUUUGGGACAUAUAGUUGUAAAAUAGAAUUUCACAAUAAAUGGAAAAAUAAAAAAAGAAUAAAGAUGAUGGAGAUGAUGUUGCUCAAUAGAUGUGAAAAUUUUUCAAAUAUGAAAUUACUUGACAAACUUUAAUAGAAUUUACCAUUGAAGUUUAGUUGUUUAUAUCAAAUUAAGAAAUUUGACCGGUAUGUCAAAUGACCAACGCUUUAGUUAUUAUUCGUAAAUGUCCAAAUGAUAGUACUGAGUUUGGGAACUUCAUAAACUAUUUUAGCUGUCUUCAAAUCUUGUUCAAAGUGAAGUUCGAAGACAGGUUAUUCAGAUGUGGUCCUCAAAUGUGAAAAAAAAAAAAAUGCAAUUGUGUUGUGACAUGUAAUUUCCUCAUUCAUUUCAGUAGGUCAAGAACCAAGCGGAACGCUAUCCUACAAUCCAACAUGAGGAAUGUAUAAAGUAUAAACUAAAAGCCCGUGCAUUAGCCUUCGUGUCACAUGAAGAUUGAAACUAAGCAUCAGAAUUCUCCAAGUGUGAAUAGAAUGUGCACUGUAUAUUGUUUUUGUGAGGGUCCUUUGUGCUUCCUGAAAUAUCACUAUCGAUAUAUCCCUCAGCUGGUGUUGUUGCAUCGCGACAAGGCUAUGUCUUCAAAAAGUUUCAAGGGGCAUUUAUCUUUUCUAGCUGCUAGUGUACUAUUUGAGUACCCCAUUCUGGAGAAAGUAUACCCAAAACUCACAUGGGUGAAGGCAUCGAUGACAGCCAGGCUGCCCAAAGAAUCGGGAGUGACAGAAUCAUAUUUACUCGACCUAUGAUGAACAAAUUCCUAUCCCGAAAUUGCCAAAUAACUUAAUUGAAAAGUGACCUGCUAGGGGUAGAAGAGAAAGAAGGUCAAGUUCAACACAACCGAUAAGAAAGUAAAAUAAAAGAAUAGUGAUGUUUUCAUGUUGUGUCAAGCACUGUGAAACAAUCAUGCAUUUCUCCAAUCAUGAGAAGGAAAUCAGGGGUUAUGGAAUGUGUCAAAGAAAGCACCAAAUGGAAUGGAGUGGCGUAUUUGCACCAAGUAGGAGAGAGGAAGAGAAAUGAUGAGUGUGGAAGAUGAGUCAGUAACCAAUAAAUGCAAAAGAAGAACAAAUGCGAUGGCGCACUCGUUUUCCAACUCAAGGGUAGACAUGCCUUUUCUCAUAUUGCCAGUUGCAAGCAGAAGACAAUGGUUAAACGAGCUAGAAGGGCGUGAUUCCCUGACCCCAUGUGUGUCCCACCGGCCACCACCACCUUCUCUUGGCUUCGUUCGUAGUCCAAUCUUUCUUCCCACACCCUGGUGCUCAGAUUACCUUUUAUCACCAGAAGUCUACUAAUGGAUGUCUGCCUUUUAUCUGCUUCACCUUCCCCUUUGCAACUUCAUGAUUGCCUACAUCAUGUAAAAACGACAAAAGCAGAACCAGCACUGUAUUAGAUUUAUUGCUCAUAUACAUGUGUAUAUAUGAUCAAAAAGGGAAUAAUUUAGUACCCCA